GAUGAACGCUGGCGGCGUGCCUAAUACAUGCAAGUCGAGCGAACAGACGAUGAGCUUGCUCCUCUCACGUGAGCGGCGCACGGGUGAAUAACACGUGUAUAACCUACCUAUAAGACUGGGAUCACUUCGGGAAACCGGAGCUAAUACCGGAUAAUAUCUUGAACCGCGUGGUUCGAUAGUGAGAUACGGUUUUGCGGUCACGUAUAGAUGGAUCCCCGCCGCAUGAGCUAGUUGGUAAGGUAACGGCUUACCAAGGCAACGAUGCGUAGCCGACCUGAGAGGGUGAUAGGCCACACUGGAACUGAGACACGGUCCAGACUACUACGGGAGGCAGCAGUAGGGAAUCUUACGCAAUGGGCGAAAGCUUGACGGAGCAACGGCGCGUGAGUGAUGAAGGUCUUCGGAUCGUAAAAAUGUGUUAUUAGGGAAGAACAAAUGUGUAAGUAACUAUGCACGUAGUGACGGUACCUAAUAAGAAAGCAACGGCUAACUACGUG
rnacentral:rRNA from 1 species